AGGCCAUGUGAUCUCCCAUCUAACCCACCAACAGUCACCUAUGGACCCUUUUUGGCAACCAUAGGGCGCCCCUAAGAACCACAACCUCUGAAGCCAAAAGAAAGCAUUUAAACAUCGUUGGGACCAUGUGGUUGAGGGACAGGUGCAGGCACGCCAUCUGUGUGGCAUUGUUCACACAGGUGGUAUGUGGUCACAUACGAAAAGUGUAAAAAUUUGCUCAAGGUUUGGAUAUAAAAGUCCCCUCACAUGUCAAGAC
rnacentral:lncRNA from 1 species